CAUCUAUGAGGUUGGUGCAAAAGUAAUUGAGGCUUUUACCAUUACUUUCAAUGGCAAAAAUCUCAAUUACUUUUGCACCAAC
rnacentral:miRNA from 1 species